rnacentral:rRNA from 1 species
GACGAACGCUGGCGGCGUGCCUAAUACAUGCAAGUAGAACGCUGGAGGAGGAGCUUGCUUCUCCGGAUGAGUUGCGAACGGGUGAGUAACGCGUAGGUAACCUGCCUGGUAGCGGGGGAUAACUAUUGGAAACGAUAGCUAAUACCGCAUAACAGUAGAUGUUGCAUGACAUUUGCUUAAAAGGUGCAAUUGCAUCACUACCAGAUGGACCUGCGUUGUAUUAGCUAGUUGGUGAGGUAACGGCUCACCAAGGCGACGAUACAUAGCCGACCUGAGAGGGUGAUCGGCCACACUGGGACUGAGACACGGCCCAGACUCCUACGGGAGGCAGCAGUAGGGAAUCUUCGGCAAUGGACGGAAGUCUGACCGAGCAACGCCGCGUGAGUGAAGAAGGUUUUCGGAUCGUAAAGCUCUGUUGUAAGAGAAGAACGAGGGUGAGAGUGGAAAGUUCACACUGUGACGGUAUCUUACCAGAAAGGGACGGCUAACUACGUG